CAGCAGCCGCGGGAAUACGUAGGUGGCAAGCGUUGUCCGGAAUUAUUGGGCGUAAAGCGCGCGCAGGCGGUUUCUUAAGCCUGAUGUGAAAGCCCCCGGCUUAACCGGGGAGGGUCAUUGGAAACUGGGAGACUUAGAGUGCAGAAGAGGAGAGUGGAAUUCCAUGUGUAGCGGUGAAAUGCGUAGAUAUAUGGAGGAACACCAGUGGCGAAGGCGACUCUCUGGUCUGUAACUGACGCUGAGGCGCGAAAGCGUGGGGAGCAAACAGGAUUAGAUACCCCCGUAGUCCCUGUCUCUUAUA
rnacentral:rRNA from 1 species